GACUCGACUCUCUUUUAUUGCAUGUGCAUUACCCUUUUCAAACGCUGCGUUUACAAAGAUGAACUGUAAUUUUCGUCCUUUUAUCAGAAUCAUUGUUCCCUGCGUUACGGAAAUAAAAAUAUCCAUCAACAACACCAUUAUUUCUUUGUCAAUACCUGAAAUGUUCGGCUACAUAAACCCUCCAAAAAGUUAUCUUGCACAGUCCCCUUUUUCUUUAUCAAGAUUCACUUAAGUUUCUGUGGUUUUGGUACUUCCCAAAUUCUCUGAUUAUUUUGAUAAUUGUUGUAAUUCAUAUUUUUGUUGUUUUAUUUGGUGCUUUUCCAGAAGCUUUUCUAAGAUCGAUUUUGUUGUUGUUGGUGCACCACGGAUUUUCCAAUCAGAGAAAAGCUUCAAUGUCAGAACUACACAAAACUCUUGGAUGAUAUACUUCGAGGAGGAGUUUCUGGAGCUAGAAUCAUCAGUCGCUUUAUCUAACCAACCACUGCUACUAACCCUUUGGAGGAGGCAUGCACGCAGGAUUACUUGCUCCAAUUGUUACCUGUACUCGCACAUUUGAAUGCAAAUGGGCAAGGCCGUGCCUAAUAGGUCUACAUCAAAAUGCUUUUCUUUAUUAUUAGAAUCUAAAUUUGUCGAUAUCUGUCGAGAACGAGAAGGUAAAGAGCCCCUAUCGAUUUGGUGAUCCCAGUGGCGGAGCUGGAAAAUAAGGAUGGGGUGGCUUGAAAACUAAUUGGAUUGGUGGGGGUGGCUUGAACCUAUAUUUUAGGCAUGAUUGUUUUUUACCAAAUUCAAAAGCACUGUAAAAUUUUGUUUUUUUUUUUUACUUUGGGCUGGCUUACCUACCUGUGCAAAACGUAUCAAUAAAAGGAAAAGAAAUGUCUAGCGAGGGAUGCUGAGCUAUUCGUCUUAACCACGUUGUUUUCUUUUAAUGGAGUUACAUCAAAGACCAAUCAGUUGAAUUAUUUUCUUUGUUUUUUGAA